GACGAACGCUGGCGGCGUGCUUAACACAUGCAAGUCGAGCGGUAAGGCCCUUUCGGGGGUACACGAGCGGCGAACGGGUGAGUAACACGUGGGUGACCUGCCCUCAGCUCUGGGAUAAGCCUGGGAAACCGGGUCUAAUACCGGAUAUGACUCCAUGACGCAUGUUGUGGGGUGAAAGCCUUGUGCGGCUGAGGAUGGGCCCGCGGCCUAUCAGCUUGUUGGUGGGGUGAUGGCCUACCAAGGCGACGACGGGUAGCCGGCCUCGAGAGGGCGACCGGCCACACUGGGACUGAGACACGGCCCAGACUCCUACGGGAGGCAGCAGUGGGGAAUCUUGCGCAAUGGGCGAAAGCCUGACGCAGCGACGCCGCGUGAGGGAUG
rnacentral:rRNA from 1 species